GGCUGAGGGGCACGUCCUGGUCCUGGCUCCUGCUCAAGGAUUACAUUCUAAAAUUUCAGGUAUGAAUAAUCUGUGUACAACCAAGUGAGUGCUUCUGGUUCAACAGCUGCCUCCACCUGUCCAGUGCUGCUGAGACCACCUGAUCAUUUUUUUCUUCUCUGGUUUGAUAAUGCACUCAGAGCAAAUCUGCUCCUGUUUUCUUGGGUCUAAGUUUUUUCCAUGGCUGGUCCUGUUUUGAGUCGGUAACCGCUCGGCGCCAAGCUGGACCCGAGGACUGAGACUCCCCACACCUGUUCCUCUGCCCCGCCCCCGAAACAGGAACACAUAUCUCAGCUACACAACGCUGGGCUCCGAUUGGCCUGCGAGGAGGAGGAAGAGGAGGAGUAUGUCAGUGAGGCGUGUCUCCCCGCCGCUCUCCACAAGUUCACAAGCAACUACAGAGAUGCCGAGACCAUUACUGUUUGGAAAAGAAGAAAUCACAGGGAGCCAGAUCUGGUGAGCAGGACGGGUGUGCUGAGCAACCUUCAAGUGCUUUGCACAACUGAAAUGAAGGUUUGCACACAUGGUGCAGAGCUGCUACUCACCAUCUACUGCAGCUUCAAACGUCAAGGAUUCUUGUAGUGAAGCUGAUGUAAAUCGUUUCUGGAAAAGCCC
ensembl:lncRNA